UGGUUGAUCCUGCCAGUAGCAUAUGCUUGUCUCAAAGAUUAAGCCAUGCAUGUCUAAGUACGCACGGCCGGUACAGUGAAACUGCGAAUGGCUCAU
rnacentral:rRNA from 2 species